rnacentral:lncRNA from 1 species
UGAGACUGGGGCAUGUGUGCUUCAGGCAGUGGCCUGCAGUGAAAGAUGACAAAUCAUUUUAGCAUUUGGUGACUUGGCAUAAGGAAACAUGCUGCCCGAUCCUAUUACAGCAACCGCCCUCUGCCAGAAAGCUCCUAACGACGGGGAUCUUCUAAGGUUGCUAUUAAGAUAAUUACUUGGACUUAAAACAUGGUGGUUGUUUUUUUUUUUUUUACUGGGCAUAAAAUUUUGGUAGCCUCUGCCCCCCUCAUUUGGCACUGGUGAGGCCACACCUCAAGUACUGUGUUCAGUUUUAGGCCUCUCACUACAGCAAAGACAUCGAGGCCCUGGAGGGUGUCCAGAGAAGAUCAGUGAAGCUGGUGAGGAGUCCGGAGCACAGGUCUUACGGGAGCAGCUGAGGGAACUGGGAUUGUUCAGUCUGCAGAAGAGGAGGCUCGGGAGGUUGUAUAGCAAGGUGUCAUAUGCCAGGUAGCAUGAAGAAGUUCUCUUUGAAUACAGCUUGUUUCUAAAAGAUUAUAAAAAAACUGUUGGAUUUGUGAAGAGUGCGAAACAGUAUUUCCCAUUUGCAAUGAAUGGUCUGAUUUUAUCACUUCUUGUGCUUUUUGAGAUCUUUCUUGAUGGGCAUCAUUUGCAUCAUUCCCAAAUAUGAGCAAAAGACGUCCUUUGGCCUUAAAAGCGUACAUAGAAGACAAAAAAUUGAGAGGUCUCAUCUGCAGUAACAAUUGUCAGAAGCUCCUCUAAAUGCGCAGCUCCACUAACAGUCACUACUGAUGAUAUAUUCUACUUUCAUGUUCUCUUGACGUGUUUUGGUGCAGGGACAAAAACACUUUUGCACUGUGUAAUUAGACAGGUUUCUGCUGAUACCAUCAGUGGGUAUUUAACAAGAGCAGAGAAGCAGACGGUAAAAAUCUAUCAUAUACAAAUUAUUUCAUUUCUUUGUGCUUUCUUCUCCUCUUCUUCUCCAUUGCUUUCCUUUCGGUUUUCCUUCUAGAUGGGGAGAUUUCUGGAAGGAAGACCAAUUCAUGUCGUGUGUUAGUGAAUCUUCAAGCAAACACGUCAGUAUCUGUAACAACAACACAUUAUGCCAAUAUCCAAAGAAAUGCCAUAAUAACUAGGCAAAAAUGUGGACCGAACGACAUGAAAGAAUCCUUUCAUUGAAAGGAAGCGAAUAAUUAGAAUGUUGGGAAGAGAGCAAUAUUAAAGAAGCUGCUGUCAGAUUUUCUGAGAUGAGAAUGGAUUGGGUUUUGCUUUAUUUUUCUACUUACUGUCACUAGCUGCUAGAAUUC